UUCGUCAUAUGAACUUUAAGGUGUAUGAAGUUUCAUAUUUUAUUUUUUCAGCAAAACGAUAGAGACUUCAUUUAACUUAGGUUGGUCUAGGCCAGAGACAGACCUACGUCAAGAUAAUCCCACCUUUGAAACACUUUGGUAAUGCUCCCAAAUAAUGAAUCAGAGCACAUGGAGCCAUUUCCUUAUUUUUUUCUGUCAAGAAAAAAAUGGCAGACUAACUGAUAUUUAUAUCAGUUAAUGAAAGAGCCCAAUGCAAAAAAAAAAUGCAUGUUGGGUCUUUGAAACAGUUCAGAUCAUUUGAAUAAUAAUAAGUUUGACCUAUUUUACCGAGAAGGUUUACAGUUCGAGUCUGUAUAGCCCUAUAAAAAUGCAAAAUCAAAAAAA
rnacentral:lncRNA from 1 species